ensembl:lncRNA
GACGCUCCUAUCCAUUCAGUAACAUCCUCAUGUGGAGACAUUCCUGUCUUCAGAGCACCUGCUUGGUACCCAGACACCGUGGGGCUGAGAAAGUGUCCUUGAAAGGGUCUUGCGUGAGGAGAGCCCACUGCUGCGGUGAUUGUGUCACUCUUGUUGAGGACACACAAGAAGUUGGCAAUCUGCAGCCCAAAGGAGGGUCCUCACCAGAACCACACCAGGCAGCCCAGCUGUGUUCUGCAUGACUGAAUCGGACACCUCUCACUUCCUCUGUGAACGGAACUUGGUGUUUGGGUGACGUGCAGGCUCAGUGGCUGGACUGUGACCCACACUGAUGAACGAAUCCUCCAGGAAUGAGACUCCUUUGGAGUUAUUGGCUGGUGAAAAUAAGCAAAGGACUGCAAAGAUCCACGGGUCAUGUGAGGCAGUCUGGUCUGCGGCAGCUGACAGCAGAGACUCCAGGAGGCCAAGGAAGGCACCCGCUCUCCUCCCACGGGUCUGGUGGGUCUAAUUUGCCUGAAUCCAGUGGAAGAUAAACAGGCAGUGGGUAUGGUGUGUGAAGCCAGAGGCCCACAUCCUGAGAACUGGGGCAUCACUGAUGCUCUCUGGGCCUCCCCUUCCUGUCUGGGGGCGACUUUAACACCCACCUCAGAGUGAUGUUUGGAGGAUUAAAGGAACAUGACUUAGCACAGUGCCUGGCACACAGUGGGUGCUCAGGGCAUGUUCAUUCCCCCUCUUCCCCUUCCCUCUCCCUUACUCUUCCUCUGUUUGCACUGCCUCCAGGAUGAGGCUGUCACCUCAGGGACUCUCCAGCACUUGAGGCCUCUCUCUCCCUCCCCACCUUCCUGAGCAGUCACAGAGUGCUGCAGAUGCUCCUGCCCUUGCACCUGGCUUCCCUGCUUCUUCCCCAAGCAUGCUGCUGUGCCAGGUCUCUUGUCUCUGGUCUGUAUUCCAG